GGCCGCGGGAAUUCCCUUCAGGCCUAACGCAUGCAAGUCGAGCGAAAAAAAAAAUUCGGAAGUGGAUUAGCGGCGGACGGGUGAGUAACACGUGGGUAACCUGCCUUAUAGAGGGGAAUAGCCUUUCGAAAGAGAGAUUAAUACCGCAUAAGAUUGUAGCUUCGCAUGGAGCAGCAAUUAAAGGAGCAAUCCGCUAUAAGAUGGACCCGCGGCGCAUUAGCUAGUUGGUGAGGUACCGGCUCACCAAGGCCACGAUGCGUAGCCGACCUGAGGGGGUGACCGGCCACAUUGG
rnacentral:rRNA from 1 species